CCUUCUUGUUGAGGGCCUUCCCGGGAAUGAAAUGAUGGAGUAGAAGGAGAUUGUCCACAGGAAUGUUCGCUUAAAGGAAAGCGAACUAAGGGUCCUUCCUGGCAGAUCCCCAGAUGCGUGUGCCUCUGAGAUAGAAGAGCUGGCACAUUCUGUCCUGGCCUCUGACCACAGGAUAAUAAAAUGUAGUGUCUAUGGAGUUCAGCCUGAAAAUGAUUUCAGCUAUUUCAGGAACACCGUCUUCGAGAAUUUGUUGACACCUCAGCAAAAGAAGGAUCAUUCUCAAAUUUGAGGCAUAUCCAUAUUCAGUAAGAAGUAGAAGGCUGCCAAGAUGGAGAAAUUCUGGGCACAUAUUGGAAACAUAGCUGAAGAAUUUUCCAAUAAGGAGAGAAUAAGAAGACCUCAUCUCCUCUGCAGUCCAAGCAAGAUACUAUGACUUUGUGGCAUCAAGAUUUCAGGUAAGAGGACAGGCAGUCAGAGAACUUUACUCUUCUAUGAGGCCUGUGAUAGUUAAUUUUACAUGUCAACUGGGUCAUAGGGUGUCCUAAGAUUUGGCCAAACAUUAUUCUGCUUAUGUCUGUGAGAGUGUUUUGGAUGAGAUUAACAUUUAAAAUAGUAGACUGACUUAAGGAGAUAGCCCUUCCAAGGUGGGUGGGCCUCAUCUGAUCAGUUGAAGUCCUGAAUAAAACAAAAAGGCUGACCCACCCCUGAGGAAAAGAGAGCUCCUCUUGCUUGGAACUGGAACACUGACUUUUUCCGGCCUUCAGACUUGAACUGAGACAUCAGCUCGUCCUGGGUCUGGUGCCUGCUGUCCUUUGCCUGGAACUAUGUCAUGAGCUCCCCAGGUCUCCACCUUGCCAAUUCACCCUGCCGUAAAUUGAAACUUGUCAACCUCCAUAAUCAUGUGAGCUAUUUCCUAUAAUAAAUGAAUAAAUGCAUACAUACAUACCUAAGCAGCAAAUAAACACACAUAUACAUAUAUACAUCCUAUUGGUUCCAUUUCUCUAAGAACCUUAACUAAUGCAACACCUAAGGGUAUUUUUCUCAGUCAUGAGUUAUUUUCCCCUCCCUCCCUUCCUCCCUUCCCUCCUUCCUUCCUCCAAACAAGAAUACAGACAGAUACUUACUGUUAUCCCAAAAACAUUCACUAAAUACUUGAUUAGAUUUCUGAUAGUUACUUUAUCUUUUAUUAAAUUUCUUCUUGCACUUGGGUACCUGGGUUUUCUAUUCUAUUUCAUUAGUCUAUUCAUAUGUUCAUACCACUCUUUUUUUAAAAGUUGUUUAUUUUUUCAAAUGUAGCACCAUUCUCUUAUAACUAUUGAGAUUGUAUGCAUUUGAAUAUAUGGUGUCCCCUUUCUCCCUUUUAUUGCUCUCCUUUUCUAACUCUCUACCAGGUGUUCUUUUUUUUUAAAUGUUUUAUAAAUUAAGGGAUAAUUUAUAAAUAGUGAAAUGCAUAGAUCUUAAAUGCACAGUUUGAUGAGUCUUGAAAAUGUUACAUAGCCAU